rnacentral:tRNA from 1 species
UUUAGGGUGGCAGAGCCAGGUUUAUGAUGCAAUAGGCCUAAGCCCUUUCAACAAAAGUUCAAGUCUUUUCCCUAAUA